AUGCAUGUAGAUAGCACCUCUAUAUAUGUGAGUGACAUUCAUAUCCCAGUAGACAUGGCUUCAACGAUGGGUUUGAAGAAAGCUCUGCGUUGGAUGCCACGUUCCUCUGCCAGCCCCCGGCUGGAGGAAGACGAAGACAACAACGAGAGGAACGGGCUGCUGAGGAGCCACCGGGAUCAGAACCGGGUCGUGCCCGUGACGGAUCUCCAUGUUGACGAGCAACCCAAGGCAGGUGCGCAUGUGGAGCCCAAGACCGUGGCCCUGAAGGUGUCGAUGCACUGCCAUGGCUGUGCGAGGAAGGUCGAGAAGCAGAUCUCCAAGCUCCACGGAGUUGUGUCCAUCAGAAUAGAGCUGGGGAUGAAGACGGUGACCGUGGUUGGCAAUGUGACCCCCAUGCAAGUCCUGGAGACCGUCUCCAAGGUGAUCAAGUACGCGCACAUUCUGCCGCUGCCCUAG
rnacentral:rRNA from 1 species